UUCUGCUGCCGACUGACAGUCAACUAAUAGUCGACUUGGUGCUGUUUCGGACUCUAAUUUAUUGCACCAGUUCGCCAGUGUAGGAAACAGGAAACAAACCUCACACACAGAAAAAUAUAUACUACCUGCAACUCUCCUACCGUGCAACGAUGUCCUGCCUGGAGCGAUCGAGGAAUAUUUUGUAGAAAAAUGGUUUCUCCUAUCAACCUCUUCCGAUCUUUCAACCCGAAUUCGGAAACACUCGCAACUUUAAUACUUAAGGACGGAACUACCCGGAUAGCACGAGACACUCCUGUGAACAUUUUAAGAAUAUUCUUCAAGAAUACUUCGCAAUAUUCCAUAGACCAUUCUUAUAUAUUUAUCUCUAAUUUAUCGUAAUUAAUUGUCGCCGUAUAUGUUUGUAGAUCUUUUGCUGUAACAAUUGAUAGGUGUA